rnacentral:rRNA from 1 species
CAUGAAGCUGGAAUCGCUAGUAAUCGCGAAUCAGAAUGUCGUGGUGAAUACGUUCCCGGGUGUUGUACACACCGCCCGUCAUGCCAUGGGAGUCUGUAAUAUUUGAAGUCGGUAGCCUAACCCAGCAAUGGGAGGGGGCCGGUGAGGGUAGGACAGGCGACUGGGGUAAAGUCGUAACAAGGUAAC